rnacentral:rRNA from 1 species
AGUGAACGCUGGCGGUAGGCCUAACACAUGCAAGUCGAACGGCAGCACAGUAAGAGCUUGCUCUUACGGGUGGCGAGUGGCGGACGGGUGAGGAAUACAUCGGAAUCUACUUUUUCGUGGGGGAUAACGUAGGGAAACUUACGCUAAUACCGCAUACGACCUACGGGUGAAAGCAGGGGAUCUUCGGACCUUGCGCGAUUGAAUGAGCCGAUGUCGGAUUAGCUAGUUGGCGGGGUAAAGGCCCACCAAGGCGACGAUCCGUAGCUGGUCUGAGAGGAUGAUCAGCCACACUGGAACUGAGACACGGUCCAGACUCCUACGGGAGGCAGCAGUGGGGAAUAUUGGACAAUGGGCGCAAGCCUGAUCCAGCCAUACCGCGUGGGUGAAGAAGGCCUUCGGGUUGUAAAGCCCUUUUGUUGGGAAAGAAAAGCAGCAGGUUAAGACCCCGCUGUUCUGACGGUACCCAAAGAAUAAGCACCGGCGAACUUCGU